AAAUGACAAAAAUCAUGAGCAGAAAUGUUUGUUCCUUAGAUUUAUUGAACCUAAAUCUGCUCAAUUAUUUUGAAGUAAAUACUACGUUUGUUUCAUUCAGUGAUUGCUGAGUAUGUUUGCUGUCAAAAAUGAAUCUUUUAAAUGGUAUGACAAAAACAGCUACAUUUGGUCCAAGCACUAGACUUUGUUGGUAUAGUUAACGAAUCAGCUCAGAGCUGGGGAUUUGGCAUUUUGCACUAAAAUUGUUCGCAACAGCAAACGGUGUCUCAUUUGCAAAACCGCGAGAAGUGAAGGGAAAAAAGAAAAAACUGAGUCAAAACAUCUGUGAGAUAAAUGGUGAUUGUGAUUUCACUAUAUGUGUGCUGGUUGGUAAAAACAAAAACUCACAAAUAAAGUUAAAAACAAACAAACAAGCUAGUUCAUGUCAGCUGUUCUUUACAUGCGAGGCAAUGAUUCUGCUGAUUUUGGAGAGGGGU